rnacentral:rRNA from 1 species
ACGAACGCUGGCGGCGUGCUUAACACAUGCAAGUCGAACGAAGAGCGAUGGAAGCUUGCUUCUAUCAAUCUUAGUGGCGAACGGGUGAGUAACGCGUAAUCAACCUGCCCUUCAGAGGGGGACAACAGUUGGAAACGACUGCUAAUACCGCAUACGAUCUAACCUCGGCAUCGAGGAUAGAUGAAAGGUGGCCUCUACAUGUAAGCUAUCACUGAAGGAGGGGAUUGCGUCUGAUUAGCUAGUUGGAGGGGUAACGGCCCACCAAGGCGAUGAUCAGUAGCCGGCCAGAGGGGGGGAGCGACCACAUGGGGACGGGAACAGGGCCCAGACUCCUGGGGGAGGAGGAAGGGGGGAAUCUCCCGAAAGGGAAGAAGGUGGGAGGGGGAAGCGCGGGGGGAGGGAGGACGCCCGGCGGGUUGAAAGGCUUGGUUAAUGGGGAGGAAAGGCCUUUUUGCGAAUAGUGAGAGGGAUUGACGGUCCCGAAAAAAAAAGCCACGGCUAACUACGUG